UGGAGUGUAGCUCAGCGGUAGAGCACUUGCCUAGCAGUGUGAUUACACAACCACCCCCCCCCCCAAAAAAAAAAAAAAAAAAAAAACCAUGAUGCUGGUUAAAAAAAAAAAUAACAAAAAACACAGACAGGGCUGGGUUGUAGCACAGUGGUAGAACACUUGCCUAGCAAGAGACACUGGGUUCGAUCCUCUGCACCACAU
rnacentral:tRNA from 1 species